rnacentral:lncRNA from 1 species
CCAUAGUGAGUGGCAUUGACGAGUCUUGAACACUUAGAAAACAAGUGUGGCAUCAAUGACAAAGAACAAGAACAAGUAGUGUACAUGACACUAGUAGAGGUUAGGGAAUGCAAGUAAAUUGGGUUAGUGACAUUAUGACGUAUACACCUUAGAGUUAAGGGUCAUAUGAACAUGGUUCUCCUUGAAGUCAAGGAAUGGAUUGAACUUGGAAUCCUUAAUGUUAAGGAUUGAUUGUACUCACCUAAUAGUCCUUGCUCGAGGGCGGUAGCUCCCCCUCGGGCGAUGUGCUCUGGAGUUGUCAUCACUGGGUCGUAGCGGUUAUCUCCCCAGAGGGCGGUCCCGUCGGGUCGUAGCGGUUAUCUCCCCGAUAAUAAGGAUUUGGGUUGGUGAGUUUGUGAGGGCGAAACCUACGGGCUAGCCAAGCGAUUGGGUAAUGAAAAGUUAAUUUUGCAUUCAUCAUGAGCAUUCUAUCGAGCAUAGUUUUACUUAUCGUUCAGGCAUAUUAGCUGCAUCUGUUAGUUGGUUAUUAUCUAUUCUUUCUUCUAUUAUGCCUGAUUAGACCUAGUGGGAUAGUCGGCGUGGUUGGUUGCCGAAUUCACUGGGAACUUUGUUGUAGUUCUCACCCCACUAUUUCCACAGAGCCGGGACCGAGCGAGCCAGCAGACGAUCGCGGUAAGGGCAUCGCGCCCUAGGCAGAGACCGCCCGAGAUGUUUUAUUUUCAUAGUUGCAUAUCCCUUAUUAUCAUCUUUUGUAUUUUGAUGAUGUUAGUAUUGUGAUCAUGUUAAAUGAAUGAUGUAGAAGACUUUAUUUAUGUUAAAUGGAAAAGGAUCAUAUUUUGGAGAACUUGUGAUGUAUAAAAGAAAUGAUGCAAAGUUGUAUUAAAGUUGAAUGCAUGUAUGUUAUUUAAAUUUAAUCAAAUACUUGUAUAAUGUUUAGUAGAUUCUUUCACUAUUGGCUGUUGCUUGCCCUCGUGCAAGCCAUUAUGUAUGCUUCCGUUUUGUGCAAAAUUCAUACUCUAUUUGUACAAGAUGUUGAGCCUUGGGCGGACAGGGGAGACUCUGUUCGUUCGGCGUCUGUUUAACGCGCUCGAACCGGCCAAAUAGGAUUGGAUUCGGGGCAUGACAGAUAUAAUGGUAUCAGAGAGUAAAAGAGCCAAAAAGUGAAAGUAUAGGAUGGACCUAGAGACCUUUAGGAUUGGAAAGGCCUUAAGGAUCUAGGAAACGUGAGUGACGUGGAAUAAAUUAUAGCGAAAGCGUUGAUUGGGUUGUUGCUAAUAAGUCUCUAAUGUGGUUAGAGGCUAACUUAAAGUUGUUAUUUGUUUUCUAUUCCAUGUGUUGUGAUCGGCGGCCGACGACAUGAUGCUGGGAAAUGAAAAUAAAUACACUUAUUGCUUUCGCUGGAUUGGGUAAGUUCGAGUAUAUUGGUUAGGGAACUAACGUAAAUUGCUUCGUUGCAGGAAGCAAUGGCACCUCGACCUCGUGGACGACCGCGAACAAGGUCGAUGCCUGAGGAACCGAGAGCGGCUCCUAUGCAACCCGGAGAAGGUGGCGACGGGGAGCUUCAGGAGCAGAUGGCCGCGCUUAUUGGCGUAGUGCGGCAGCAAGCGGAGUCCGUUCAGCGCCAAGGGGAGCAAAUCUAAAGGCUCCAGGAGGCGUUGGAGCGGCAGCAGACGACGGCGGCUCAAGCAGGGGCCGAACACCCUGCGCCCCCUGUUGUGGUGUCGACAGUGGUCGAGGGAGCAACGACGGCGGCGCCAGUCGCGGCCGUACCAGUCAUGGCGAUACCGACCAGUUCGGGAACCUCAAACCCCGACAGUGUGGCUGAUGGAGUGGAGCGGGAGCACGCGUUGGCAGCUCUCAUUCAGUUUCAGAAGUUCAACCCACCUACCUUCGAAGGGGGGGUGGUGGAACCGGCGGUGGAGUCCUGGAUCGACUCCAUGGAGAUGCUGUUCGAGGAUCUAAACACCUUGGAGAGGGACAAGGUGUACUUAGCCACACAUUGCCUCGGGAAGGCGGUAAUGGUGUGGUGGAAGCAAGUGAGGCGGGAUCGGUCUCCCGAUCUUCUGCUUAUGAUGUGGGAGGAGUUCUAGAGGGCGGUGUUCGCCAACUACUUCCCCGACACGGUGAAGCGGAAGCUACAAGAAAAGUUUCGCAAGUUGAGGCAAGGAGACCGUUCUGUGGCGGACUACGAGCAGAAAUUCUCCCACAUCAUCGACUGCGUCCCAGAGAUUGUUCGUGACGAUCGGGACCGGGCCGAUCGGUUCUUGCGAGGACUUAGGCCGAGGAUCUACAAGGCGGUGCAAGUUCUCAAGCUUAUGACCUUUGCGGAGGUCUUUGAACGGGCUCUAUGGGCGAAGCACGGCAGUGCCUACGCACGGGAGGAGCGCGAGGCUAUGGCGGAGUCGCGAGACAAGGGAAAGAAGCGGGCGGCGGGUGGCAUCGGGGGCCGGCCGAAUGCAAAGAAACCCCCUCGAUAUCCCCAACAGCAGUUGAGGAGUGGCAGGCCGUUCCAUUGUGCCAUUUGCGGCUGUGAUCAUCGACCGCCGGCAUGCCCGCAGCGCGAGGGAAAGUGCUUCAAGUGCGGCCAACCAGGGCACAUGUCACGGGAGUGCCCGAGUUGGGGUUCAUCGGCACCGACAGCGGCGUCAGUUCCGUCUACCCUGAGACAGCUUGUGGGGUUACCACCGGCUAUGUCUGCUGGAUGCUCUUCUGCAUCGCGCCAGCCGGAGGCAUCGAGGGCACCGAGUGGGCGGGUUUUUGCCACUCAGGUGGAGGAGCCGAUUCCAGUCCCCGACGACGUCGUGGCAGGUGUUAUCUUGAUUAAAGACACUAGAGCUAGAGCAUUGUUCGACACUGGUGCAUCACGUUCAUUUAUAAGUGCAUCAUUCUCUAGGACUCAGACAUAGAGAUUACUCAUGUUGAGGACGGUUGGACAGUGAGUACCUCGGAGCAUUCGUUUCGAGUUUAUGAUGAGUGUUUGGAUUGUCCGGUAUAGAUAGGUGAUUGGAUCAUGCCGAUCGACCUACUAGUGCUAAAUGAGACGUGGGGCUUCGAUGUAAUCUUGGGGAUCAACUGGCUCUCCAAGUAUUACGCGGUAAUCGAUGGCGAAAGAAAGGUGAUCACUUUUCGUGAACCUAAUCAAGAAGAGUUGGUUUACCGGGCGUGCAAUGGCGCGCGCUUUACGACGACCAUAUCGACGGUGAGGGCGAAGAAAAUGAUAAAGAGUGGUUGUAAGGUCUAUUUGGCGACCAUCGUAGACCCUCAGAAAGAGCACCCGGAUUUGGGGAGUAUUCGAGUUGUAUGUGAGUAUCCGGAUGUGUUUCCGGCGGAGUUACCGGGAUUGCCACCGGACCGGGAAGUCGAUUUCGUCAUUGAUUUGAUUCCCGGGGCGGCGCCAAUCUCGAAGGCUCUAUAUAGAAUGGCACCGGCGGAGCUAAAGGAGUUAAACGCACAGUUGCAAGACUUGCUCGACAAGGGCUUUGUGAGACCGAGCGUGUCACCUUGGGGAGCUCCGGUGCUAUUCGUUAAAAAAAAAGAUGGCACACUUUGACUCUACGUGGAUUACCGCAAGUUGAACAAGGUCACAGUGAAGAAUAAGUACCCAUUACCUAGGAUUGACGACCUAUUCGAUCAACUGCAAGGGUCGAGGAUAUAUUCAAAGAUAGAUCUACAGUCGGGGUAUCAUCAAUUGAAGAUACGACCCAAGGAUGUGCACAAGACGGCGUACCGUACGCGGUAUGGCCAUUAUGAGUUCACGGUUAUGCCAUUCGGGCUUACAAAUGCCCCGGCGGCCUCUAUGGACUUAAUGAAUCAGUCUUCCGUCCGCUAUUGGACCGGUGCGUCGUGGUCUUCAUUGACGAUGUAAUGGUGUAUUCUCGGACCAAGGAAGAACACGAGGAGUACUUGAGGACCGUAUUGGAAAUACUCCGAAAAGAGAAGCUUAUUGCCAAGUUGAAGAAAUGCGACUUUUGGCUAUCGAAGGUUACUUUCCUUGGUCACGUGAUCUCGGGUGAUGGUAUCUCGGUGGACCCGAAGAAAGUUGAGGCGAUUAAAGAUUGGCCUCGCCCGACGAGUGUAUCGGAAGUCCGCAGUUUUCUUGGGCUAGCGGACUACUAUCGACGGUUCGUGGAGGAGUUCGCUAAAAUAACCACUCCACUAACGCGCCUUACACACAAGGGAGUGAAGUAUGUUUGGAGCGACGAUUGUGAUUGGAGCUUCAAGGAGUUGAAGGAAAGGUUGAUGUCGACCCCGGUGCUUGCUCUACCGACGCCGGGGGAGACCUUUGUGGUUUAUAGUGAUGCUUCCUACGUAGGACUCGGGUGUGUCUUGAUGCAAAACGGGCGGGUUAUAGCUUAUGCUUCACGCCAAUUGAAGACUUAUGAGAAGAACUUCCCGGUUCACGAUCUGGAGUUAGCGGCGGUUAUUUUCGCGCUAAAAUUAUGGAGGCAUUACCUAUAUGGGGAACAUUGUGAGAUCUACACAGAUCACAAGAGCCUUAAAUAGUUGUUCACCCAGAAGAAAUUAAGUAUGCGACAAUGGCGAUGGUUAGAGUUGUUGAAAGAUUAUGACGUCACUAUACUUUACCUCCCGGAAAAAGCCAAUGUUGUGGCCGAUGCACUUAGUAGAAAAUCGAAAAAAAACUUGGCUUCGGCAAUUACACCCCAACCGUUGUUACAAAAGGAGAUGCAACGGCUUGGAUUGGAAGUAGUAGCGCCGGGAGUGCCGGCUACACUUGCCGUGUUGGUGGUACAACCGACCUUGUUGGAGAGGAUCAAUGUAAGGAAGUGAGUUCUCGAAACUCGAGGAUUAGACUUCGACUAGAAUCGACUAUCCGUCGAGUGCGUAGGCUUCGGAAAGUCCGAAGGUGUUUAUAAUGCAUAAAGUGCAUUAAAGAAGGGUCCGCGGGAGCACCAGUGCAAAAUCUGCACUGGAGCAGAAUUUCUCUCGGGGACCGGUCCCUGGCAGGGAGGGACCGGUUCCAUCAGGCUGGGCUGCGGGGGUCUCUGAUGAGACCGGUCCCUGGUGGUGAGGGACCGGUUCCCGAACGUUGGCCCAGCGAAAAUAGCCGAAAUUUGGCUAAGUCCCGAAAACUCAGCUUUCGGGAACCGGUCUCUCGGACAAGGACCGGUCUCCCGGGGACCGGUCUCUCAAGCAAGAACCGGUUUCCGAACGCGAAAUCCCCUCUGCUCGAAGUGGCAGCCUUCGGGGACCGGUCUCCCCGAGCUGGGACCGGUCCCUCACUGCGAAAAUGCCCAGAGAGGGCUGGUUCUAAAGAUGAAAAGUUGAGGGGGCUAAUUGCAAAAUAGCCCAUAUGAAGGCUUGGGGACCCCUCUUCCCUUUUCAUUUGCUCUCUCUCCAUCUCACACUCCUUCUCUCUCUCUCUAGAAAGAGAAGAAGGAGAAGAAGAAGGAGAAGAAAGAAAGGAAGGAAAAGAAGAAGAAGUGGAAGGAGAAGUCCAAGAAGAAGAAGAAGAAGGUCUUCUUCCCUCUCUCCUUCAAGCUAGGGCAAGCUUGGAGCUUGGCUUAGAGGUAAGCUCCAAACCCACUCAUGGUAGAUUUCUUAGGAUUGGGUUUUAUUGCUUAGAAUUGGUUCAAAUGGAACCUAGAGGAGAUGAAUAGGUGGUUCGGGCUCGCAAUCGAAGCUCGCACCACGGAUUUCUCCCUCGUUGCCAUUCUAGGGCACGGAUUUGGGAUUUUGGUAAAUCUAGGGUUUUGAUCUAUUUUAAUAGGUCGUAAACCAAAUUGCUAGGUCUCGGAACGCGUCGGCGAAGACGGUUUGCCGAUCCGACGAGCGGGUGCGGAGUUAUCGCCGAAUCGGGUACUCGAGGGCUCGCUUUGCCCCGAGGAGUUAAAGCGGCGUGCAAAGACCGCAACGUCGAGUUUUCUACCAUCGCGGCAUCGCCAAGAGGUGGGUGGUGUCCAUCCCGAAGCAAUCGGGCUCCCUUCUAUGUCUUAGUACAUGUCGAUUCUUGCAUCUUGUAUUAUUGCAUUAUAGGAUGAUUGUGCAUUGCCUUUCCUUAUGCCUUCCUUGAUGAUAUCGUAGCAUGUAUUAGAUAUUUGGUAUAGUGGAUCGAUAAGGAUUGGGUCGAGAUUUGUGAAUCCUAUAGUGCAAAGAAGGUGAUGGGCUCGAUGAUUGGUCUAAUGUUAAACAAAGAACGAGUGGCAUCUAGUCGAUAGUAAACAAAGAACGAGUGGCAUCUAGUCGAUAGUAAACAAAGAACGAGUGGCAUUUAGUUGAUAAUAAGCAAAAGAACAAACGACACAUAUGAGUCGUAGUGUAGGUGAAACCUAUGGACUAUAUGAUGAUUGUAACCCUAGAGGAUAGGGUAUUCUCGAGACGAGGAUUGGAUCAUGCUCACGGUCUGUUUCUAAAUCUUGUGAUGGAAGCCCCACACAAGUAGUGCGCUCCGGAUGUUGGUCACGUGGGAUCGCCUAUUUUGGGUCCCAAGGGUUUGCCUAUUCAGGCCCCGGCAGACGGUCUCGGUUCGUAGUGCGAGUUGACCCUCCCUACCUUCGAGAUGGCUAGUGAGCAGUAGGCUCCUUCAGGGAAGCCGCGAGAUUAAUAAACAAGUAAAUGGCAUUGAUGAACAGGUACAUAGCUUUACCCUUGACAUGACGACAGGUUAGUUGCUUACCGUUCUAUUGAACAUGCAUUCAUGUAUCUAUGAUUGGGCAUAGUAGUGUAGCUUCACUUUCCUGUCUUUACAGCUCUACUUAUCUAUCUAUCUAUCUAUCUAUCUAUCUAUCGAUUAUCUACUCGUGCCCGCUUGGACCUAGUGGGGAGAUCGGCAGAGUCGGCGACCGAACCCACUGGGAACUAAGGAAGUUAGUUCUCACCCCCAUUUUUACCACAGGUUUGAGUUCGGGUGUCCCCGGUGAGCGCAAGGAUCGCGGUAAGGGCCCGGCGCUCUAGUCGCAUUAGCUACCUCCCUUUUUGCAUUAGCCGUCACCCUUUUGUAUUUGAGAGUAGAUGUUGUAUAGGGUGAGGUUGAGUGAUGGUAUUUAUAUUUUGGGAAAAAAGUAAAAGAUGUAAUCAAAUGUAUUAAGUUAAAUGAAUGUAAUAGAUAGUCUCUCCUCUCUUUAUGUACCUGUAUAUGUUUCUAUACUUGUAUUCUUGCUCUCGUCUUGUUGCACUGGUGGUGCUUCUUGAUCGUGUAUCUAUGAAUUAAUUCCUGGGUAAAUUCUUAUACAUGAUCUGUUGGUUAGCCUUGGACGGACAUGGGAGGUCCUGUCCGUUCGGCGUCUGUUCGACGUGCCCAGGGCCGGACCAAAUUGGUAGCGGUCUCGGGGCGUGACAAUCAAGGAGUUGCAAGCUUCCGACGAGUAUCUCCAAAAGAUGCGCGGUGAAGUUGAGAGCGGUAGUGCCGAUGACUUUGGCAUUGGGACCGAUGGCACACUUCGAUUUCGAAAUCGUUGGUGUGUACCUAAGAACAAGGACAUCCGCAAAGCAAUUAUGUAAGAGGCGCAUCAAUCCCCUUAUAGUAUCCACCCGGACGACACCAAGAUGUAUCAAGAUUUGAAGUUGCACUAUUGGUGGCCGGGCAUGAAGAAAGACAUUGGGGAGUUUGUUGCGCAAUGCCUUACUUGCCAACAAGUAAAAGCGGAGCGGCGUUUUUCGGCGAAAAAAUUACAAAGCUUACCUAUACCCGUUUGGAAAUAGGAGAAUAUCGCUAUGGACUUUGUGACCGGAUUGCCACGAUCUCAAGGUGGGCACGAUGCAAUUUGGGUUAUAGUGGACCGGUUGACGAAGUCGGCGCAUUUCCUACCGAUUCAUAUUACAUGGUCGGGGGACAAGUUGGCUCAAGUAUAUAUCGACAAAGUUGUGAGACUUUAUGGGGUGCCCGUGUCUAUCGUGUCGGAUCGGGACCCGAGGUUCACAUCUCACUUUUGGAGGAGCCUACAUGAGGCUUUGGGCACAUGGCUCGACUUUAGCGCGGCAUUUCAUCCUCAAAGUGAUGGUCAAUCGGAAAGGACGAUACAAAUACUUGAGGAUAUGCUUCGGGCGUGUGUUCUUGAUUAUAAGGGCAAUUGGCAUGAUCAUCUACUGAUGGCGGAAUUUGCGUAUAAUAACAGUUAUCAAGAAACUAUCGCGAUGGCGCCAUUCGAGGCCCUAUAUCGAAGGAAGUGUCGCUCUCCAAUUCAUUGGAGCGAGGUGGGCGAGAGAGUGGCUCUUGGCCCCGAUGUAGUGCGGGAGGCGGAGGAGAAAGUUCGCCUCGCCUGCCAACGACUUGCUAUGGCGCAAUCACGGCAAAAGAGCUAUGCCGACAAACGGAGGAAAGGUGUCGCCAAUGCGAGGAGUUAAACGGUUUGGAGUCCGGGGAAAACUAAGUCCCCGAUACCUUGGACCGUUCGAGAUACUGGAACGGGUCGGCGCGGUGGCAUACAGGAUAGCAUUACCACCGAGACUUGCAGGAGUGCACGAUGUGUUUCACGUGUCGAAUCUCCGCAAGUAUGUGCACGAUCCCGAGCAUAUUCUCUCAUUCGAACCGUCCGAGAUCCAAGAGGAUAUUGCUUACGAGGAGUUCCCGGCGUACAUCAUCGAUCGAGAAGUAAGAAAACUGCGGAACCGUGAGAUUCCGUAUGUUAAAGUCCGUUGGAGCAACCACGACGAUCGGGAAGCCACUUGGGAGCUCGAGAGCACGAUGCGGGAACAUUCUCCCCAUCUCUUCGAGAAUCUGGAUUGAGGUAUGAAUCUAGAUUUCAAUUAAGUAGUUUCGCGGACGAAACUAAUUUUAAGGGUGGAGAAUGUAACGUAUCGAAACCUCGAUAGCGAUUAUCGAACUUUAAUCAAAUUGGUUAAAGUGUCGAGAGCUAUGGUUAGGCGAGUCCUAUUUAGCAUUCCAACAAUAUUGGAAGGGCUAAAAAUGGGUUCCAAAAGAGUUAGAAUGGUUUUGGUGUCGAGCGGCGCGAGUUAGAGUCGAAUCGAGCCAAAAAUCGAAGUCUGGAGCAAGUGUACCGGUAUAGGGGCGUAUCUGUACCGGUACAGAUACGCAGAUCGCAAGCAGUAGCUCUCGGGUUUGGAAAUUGCCCAGAAUGUACCGGUACAAAUAAGUGUACCGGUACACUUGUCGAUAACCCGAGCAAAAAUUAUUCUCGGGUUUGGGGGCUGUUCGUGAUCGUGUUACCGGUGACACCAAAGUGUACCGGUAUACUUUGUACCCGACAGCAGCCCGAGGUCUGCUGCAAAAUAUAAAGAUUGGGAGGGCUCUUUGGCAAAUGUUACAACAUGUUAAUAACCCAAUACCCCUUCCCUUCACAGCCAACAACCAAACACCUCUCUCUCCCUCAUUUCUCUCAUUUUCUCUCUCUAGAAAGCUCUCCAAGAGGUGGAGUUAGAGGAGAUUGGAAGGAGAAAGCUUGGGAUUUGGAGGACUAAGAGGCUAGGGUUCUCUCCUACAAGAUGGACUUUGGAGAGCUUUGGGCCAAGGUGAGGUUUUGUGUAAGAUUAGGCUUAGGGCUUGAGUUUUGAUGCCCUAAACCUUUGGGUUUUGACCUUUUAGCUAGAUUAGAAACCUCUAAUAGCUAUAGAACACAUGGAAACAAGAUGUUACCACGUGUUCUCAUGGUAGAAACCCUAGUGUUGGGUUUUGUGCCCUAGAAUGGAGUUGAGAGGUAUAGAAAACAAUUAAAAUGAGUUUCUAAACUUAGAACAAGCUCUCUUUUGCUUGUACAAGAGAUCAAAACCUAGGGUUUAGCAAAGAGCUUGGUGAGGGUACCAAAUUUGGGAAUUUUGUCUCCGAUCGUUUCUAAGGCAAAUUGACUUUAUAGAAACCUAAUUGGGGGCAUUUCCGACGCAAUAGUGCGCUCGGUUCGUCGAAACGAAGAGUCUACGAGAAGUUAUCGAAUAAAAAGCCUAAUUUGGCUUCGUUAUGGUACAGAUCGCCGCAGCCCGCGAAAUAGAGCUACAAAAAUUCUGGGAAAUUCACCGUAGCAUCCCCACAACUGUUAGAGGUGGGUGGUGCAUUCCAAGGACCUCGGAAAUCCUUUUAUGUCUAAAGUGUCAUAUUUGAGCAUGUACAUAUACAUUGAGCAUAUCGCAUAGUAGGGUUACUCAUGAGUUUUUAUUGCAUUUUGUUGGUUCAAAUGCAUGUGGAAUGUCGUAUGAUAAUUGAAAAUUUAUAAACCCUAUGUAUGCAUGUUGAAGAACAAGAACCUAGUGGACUUGUAACGUUGGACAUGACCAUAGUGAGUGGCAUUGACAAGUCUUGAACACAUAGAAAAUAAGUGUGGCAUCAAUGACAAAGAACAAGAACAAGUACUGUACAUGACGCUAGUAGAGGUUAGAGAAUGCAAGUAAAUUGGGUUAGUGACAUUAUGACAUAUACACCUUAGAGUUAAGGGUCAUAUGAAUAUGGUUCUCCAUGAAGUCAAGGAAUGGAUUGAACUUGGAAUCCUUAAAGUUAAGGAUUGAUCGUACUCACCUAAUAGUUCUUGCUCGAGGGCGGUAGCUCCCCCUCGGGCGAUGUGCUCCGGAGUUGUCAUUACUGGGUCGUAGUGGUUAUCUCCCCAGAGGGCGGUCCCGUCGGGUCGUAGCGGUUAUCUCUCCGACAAUAGGGAUUUGAGUUGGUGAGUUUGUGAGGGCGAAACCUACGGGCUAGCCAUGAGAUUGGGUAAUGAAAAGUUAAUCUUGCAUUCAUCAUGAGCAUUCUAUCGAGCAUAGUUUUACUUAUCGUUCAGGCAUAUUAGCUGCAUCUGUUAGUUGGUUAUUAUCUAUUCUUUCUUCUAUUAUGCCUGAUUAGACCUAGUGGGAUAGUUGGCGUGAUUGGUUGCCGAACUCACUAGGAACUUUGUUGUAGUUCUCACCCCACUAUUUCCACAGAGCCGGGACCGAGCGAGCCGGCAGAC